rnacentral:rRNA from 1 species
AGAGUUUGAUCCUGGCUCAGAUUGAACGCUGGCGGCAGGCCUAACACAUGCAAGUCGAACGGUAACAGGAAGAAGCUUGCUUCUUUGCUGACGAGUGGCGGACGGGUGAGUAAUGUCUGGGAAACUGCCUGAUGGAGGGGGAUAACUACUGGAAACGGUAGCUAAUACCGCAUAACGUCGCAAGACCAAAGAGGGGGACCUUCGGGCCUCUUGCCAUCGGAUGUGCCCAGAUGGGAUUAGCUAGUAGGUGGGGUAACGGCUCACCUAGGCGACGAUCCCUAGCGGGUCUGAGAGGAUGACCAGCCACACUGGAACUGAGACACGGUCCAGACUCCUACGGGAGGCAGCAGUGGGGAAUAUUGCACAAUGGGCGCAAGCCUGAUGCAGCCAUGCCGCGUGUAUGAAGAAGGCCUUCGGGUUGUAAAGUACUUUCAGCGGGGAGGAAGGGAGUAAAGUUAAUACCUUUGCUCAUUGACGUUACCCGCAGAAGAAGCACCGGCUAACUCCGUGCCAGCAGCCGCGGU